rnacentral:rRNA from 1 species
GAUGAACGCUGGCGGCGUGCCUAAUACAUGCAAGUCGAGCGAACAGACGAGGAGCUUGCUCCUUUGACGUUAGCGGCGGACGGGUGAGUAACACGUAGGUAACCUACCUAUAAGACUGGGAUAACUUCGGGAAACCGGAGCUAAUACCGGAGAAUAUUCCUAACCGCAUGGUUCGAUAGUGAAAGAUGGCCUUGCCAUCACUUAUAGAUGGACCUUCGCCGUAUUAGAUAGUUGGUAAGGUAACGGCUUACCAAGGCAACGAUACGUAGCGGACCUGAGAGGGUGAUCGGCCACAAUGGAACCGAGACACGGUCCAGGCUCCUACUGGAGGCAGCAGUAGGGAAUCUUCCGCAAUGGGCGAAAGCCUGACGGAGCAACGCCGCGUGAGCGAUGAAGGUCUUCGGAUCGUAAAACUCUGUUAUUAGGGAGGAACAAACGUGUAAGUAACUGUGCACGUCUUGACGGUACCUAAUCAGAAAGCCACGGCUAACUACGUGCCAGCCGCCGCAGUAA